GAGUGGAAAGCGGCGGACGGGUGAGUAACGCGUAGGCAACCUGCCCUUUGCAGAGGGAUAGCCUCGGGAAACCGGGAUUAAAACCUCAUAAUACUGAGAGUAGACAUCUAUUUUCAGUCAAAGAUUUAUCGGCAAAGGAUGGGCCUGCGUCUGAUUAGUUAGUUGGUGGGGUAACGGCCUACCAAGGCGACGAUCAGUAGCCGACCUGAGAGGGUGAUCGGCCACAUUGGAACUGAGACACGGUCCAAACUCCUACGGGAGGCAGCAGUGGGGAAUAUUGCACAAUGGGGGAAACCCUGAUGCAGCAACGCCGCGUGAAGGAUGAAGGCCCUUGGGUCGUAAACUUCUGUUCUAAGGGAAGAAAAUGACGGUACCUGACUAAGAAGCACCGGCUAAAUACGUGCCAGCAGCCGCGGUAAUACGUAUGGUGCAAGCGUUAUCCGGAUUUAUUGGGUGUAAAGGGUGCGUAGACGGGAAAGCAAGUUAGCUGUGAAAUCCCUCGGCUCAACCGAGGAACUGCAACUAAAACUACUUUUCUUGAGUACUGGAGGGGAAAGUGGAAUUCCUAGUGUAGCGGUGAAAUGCGUAGAUAUUAGGAGGAACACCAGUGGCGAAGGCGACUUUCUGGACAGUAACUGACGUUGAGGCACGAAAGUGUGGGGAGCAAACAGGAUUAGAUACCCUGGUAGUCCACACCGUAAACGAUGGAUACUAGGUGUAGGGAAUAUUAAGUUCUCUGUGCCGUCGCAAACGCAGUAAGUAUCCCACCUGGGGAGUACGACCGCAAGGUUGAAACUCAAAGGAAUUGACGGGGGCCCGCACAAGCAGUGGAGUAUGUGGUUUAAUUCGAAGCAACGCGAAGAACCUUACCAGGGCUUGACAUAUACAGGAAUAAGUUAGAGAUAGCUUAGCUCUUCGGAGUCUGUAUACAGGUGGUGCAUGGUUGUCGUCAGCUCGUGUCGUGAGAUGUUGGGUUAAGUCCCGCAACGAGCGCAACCCCUGUCCUUAGUUGCCAGCGAGUAAUGUCGGGAACUCUGAGGAGACUGCCGGUGAUAAAUCGGAGGAAGGUGGGGACGACGUCAAAUCAUCAUGCCCUUUAUGUCCUGGGCUACACACGUACUACAAUGGCUAUAACAGAGGGAAGCAAUACCGCGAGGUGGAGCAAAACCCUAAAAAUAGUCUCAGUUCGGAUCGAAGGCUGAAAUUCGCCUUCAUGAAGCUGGAAUUGCUAGUAAUGGCAGGUCAGCAUACUGCCGUGAAUACGUUCCCGGGCCUUGCACUCACCGCCCGUCA
rnacentral:rRNA from 1 species